rnacentral:rRNA from 1 species
UUAAAAUGUAAAAUUUUAAAGCUAAAUUAUUAAUAGUUAUGUUCUUAAAAAUUAAAUAAUUUGGCGGUAUUUUAGUCUUUUCAGAGGAACCUGUUCUUUAAUUGAUAAUCCACAAUUUAAAAAACUUAUAUUAGGAAUUUACAUAUCAUCGUUAUUAAGUAUUUUUAUAGAAAUUAAUACUUAGUUUAUUAAAUUUAAUUUUAAUUCAGAUCAUGGUGUAGUUUAUAUUUAAGUGGAAAUGGGUUACAAUUUAUUAAAAUUGGAUUAUAAAUUGCAAAUUUAUAGGAAAUUGGAUUUGAAAGUAAUUAAUUUUAUUUUUUAUUAAUGAUUAAGCUCUAAAAUAUGU